GAACAAAGGCAACCACGGGACUGGAGUGGCUGCUGGGGAGAUCCGGCCUGCCGAGGGACGGGGAUCUUGGAACCUUAGCGCUGCUGACUGGAGCAAGAGGGAUAGCAGAGAGAAGGGCUUCAGGGCACAGACAGCAGAGCCACGAUCACAAUGGAACCUGUGAGCAGCAGCGGAACUGAGCUCAGAGCCUCUCACACUCGUAAGAUUAUACCAGCUGUUCCUAAGGCUCAUUCCUGGCUCUGCACUCAGGGAUCACUUCUAGAAGGCUCCAGAGAUCAUAUGGGGUGUCAGGGAUCAAACCUAGUUGGCCAAUUGCAAGGCAAGUGCCCUUCCAGUAUCUCAUCUCUACAAUUUCUCAGUGCUCACUUUUAUCUUAACUUCGUUUAAAAUUUUUGAUGAUACUAUGGAAUACAAUUUUUUCUAAAUAUUUACCUAUUUUAAACUCUACUGGUUUGAGAAAUGCCCAUCCAUUAUUUUGCUUCUAUAGAAUAUUUUAUUGUGUCAAUAUACAGUAUUAUUCAUUUUUAAAUAGAGGAAUUCUGAUGAAUAUACAAUAUUUCCUAAUUAAAUGAUUAACCUUUCAUUAUCACUCCUGUUGCAGUCCUGUGAAAAGCUCUGU